AGAACAUCAAUUCUAGCUUGCUAGCCUACUUCCCAGCUAGAUCAUAUGGAUUGGACCACAUCUUGUGCAGCUGCAUAUAUAUAUGCAUGGUUUACCACCUAUCCAUACACAAAGUGCUACUCUCUCCGUUUCUAAAGUUGGAUUGGACCAAGGCUAUAGCAAGCCUAGCACAGGACUUAGGCCCAGGUCGUCCCAACAUGUCUGAGUUAUCAUCUGAGUGCUCAUGCCAUCAUGGACGUUGCUACCGGUACACUUAAUUUGGUUGUGGCGAAUACUAUACUAGUGCUGAUGGCCAAGGUUUUCUUACUCAUGAGCUGGCCGAUGUUAAUAAGAAAAAUGAAGUAUGGUCGAUUAAAGACCAAUGCCAGAAAAUUGGCAACAAUUCAUCCAAAGAAAGAUUUAGAAAGAAUGAUCACAACAAAAACAAUUGACAAAGCACAUUUUAGCAAUAGUGAUCUAAACAUUAUGCAGUUACGACUAUCUAGCAUC